AAUUGAAAUGUCUGAUAGGGACAAUGCUGUUUUUCUUUAGCUAAAAAUAGUAACAUCAAAUACUUAUUUAAUCUUUAAAAUGUUUCAGGCUUUUAACACCAAGACUGGGUAAUUUCACUCUUUUGGUUUUUUUCUUUCUAGCUAGUAUCUUUGCUCUGAAGCUUUCUCAGGGUACAAGUAUUUACCAGUUUCAUCUCAAAUGAUGAAGUUAUUAGCCACUUAAGUUGAUUAUCUCCCUGAAAAGAUUAAAGAGGUUUCAUUUUUUGAAUGGCACUCUUGAGAUUUGGCUCAAGUGUUUGUGAUUUGGAGUAGCUGUAAAAUUGUUGUAAGAAAUAUGACUCAGUAAAAAGCUUCUAAAAUACUCAGACAUCCAGGAAGCAGUUUUAGGUCCUGAGUUUCUCUUGCUGAUGCAGACAGCAAAUACUGCACUCCUUGUCCGGGAGUGGCAGUGUGGUCUUCUGCACAGCCCUUGGGUUCUCCCUCUAUGUCUAGGAAUAUGUCAGGAAAAAUGUCAGGAAGGUGCCACAUGUGUUCAGCACAGUCAGGGUUUGCUGUGAGAGUCACUGAGAAAAUGCUUGUUGUAGAGUCUUCCCCUCCAGACCUGUUCUUCUUAAGCCGUGCUAUCUGAAGGCCCUUUGGAUGGGACUUGCAGGAGCUGAGUCUAAAUGCCUUUUAUCUCAGAACUCUGGACUUUACUAUUAUGUGUGGCAUCCCAAAUCCUCCAUCUUUAACCCUGAUGUUCCACUGGAUUAUUGUAUUUCAGCCUUUGAAAAAUUUUAUUCUUUUCAUCAAGCAUGCACAAAAAUACUGUUGAAAGUUCCACUCAGUGUCAAGGCUAUUGGUUCUUCCAGUUUGCCGCCAGGGGUGCAGCUCAGAACUGCUUUAGAUGGAUCAAGGAAGAUGCCCAAUUACUAGUUAAUUUUCUCCUUAGAUGUUCAAAGACGAGUCCUCUUGUACAUCAGCAUAAUUUAAAAAAUAUUUUUCUUAAUUAAUUAUUCUAAAGCUCUCUUUGCUUAUGAAGCUCUUGCUACCCUUUUGAAUCCAAUUAUUUAUAAGUAACAUGUUUAGCACAUAUUCUUGGGGGAACCAAGCCCUGUAAGUCAGACACUGGUGUUUUGGUGUUGGUCCAGUGCCCAGUCUCAAUGCCUGUGAAAUUGCCUGAAAACUCUUACAAUAAGUUUCCUGAAUAUGCCCACAGUGAGCUGGAAAACAAUGGUGUCUCACUGAUGGAUUUACCAGGGACUAACUCACCACGCUGCCCUCCUCCCUUUGGCAGCAGGUAUCAGAACUUUGAGCUGUGACUGUAAAAGAAAGAAACAUCACUGCCUGAGCUUGAAAAAAAGGAAAAUCUUAGUGACAACCUUCACAGCAUUUGAUAGCUUCUUUCCUCAGGGGCCCCAUCACCAGUGGAGAGGUGCAGUGCCAGUCUGCAGAGGAAGUUCUGUCACCACAGCAGAGUCCCUUGAUGUCCUUCUGGGGACUCCAUCUGAAGGAAGGACAGGAGCUGCUAUGUUUGCUCAAUAGAAGAGAGUUCCCUUUAAGAAUCACAAGGAAUGCAAGGACCAGCAGCUCUCCCUUGAACCUUUGCCCUUGCAUUAUGGACCUUUUGUGAUUCCUGUUUUCAAGUUAGCAUGAAACUUACAGGUCAGGUGGGAAGUCUCCUCCCUGAUGAGUACUGAGCUGGCAGCUUCUGAGCUUUUGGUAUCAGAAGCAAAGUUGCUGCUGACUGACCAGACUUGGAGUGUCUCCUCUUUACCUGUGCAGCGCCUGUGACAGACCCCACAGAAGGGUCUGUGGGCUUUGUGUGGCUCUGGCUACAAAGGCCAGUGCCUGACCUUGAUGAGCUUAACAAACCCAGAUCCUCUGGUAUCUUAGUGUGACCCUGAUUUACAGGGCACUUUUAAGCCCUACCAUCCUGAUUCUUACAAUGUCCUGACUAAUCAGAUUAACCCCAAAUCUCGAGCUUAUUCUUUCUACUCAUAGGUAAAGAAUACCAUUUUUCCUGAGAGAAAUUAUUUUCAAAUACCCAUUUAUGAGCAUGAGUUGAAUAACUGAAAAACAGUUACAGUUUCAUCAGAGAGAGAUGGGUUAUUAAGGUGGAAAUUGUUAGAUAGCAGUAUCAUUUGAUUUCAGGGCAGUAUAUGCUGCUAGGUUCUGAGUUUUUUCCCUAAAGUUGAAAAUGUGUCAGAUUUCAGCCUGGAUCCUUAUUAUCCAGAUGGAAGUCUCAGUCUUAUGCUACCACAGAUUUUGCAAGCUUCUCUUACAAGCAUAUUAAAGCUCUAGUGUUGCCAUAUUUCAUUUGGCAAUAAUUAUGUCCUUUGCCUCUCUUCUGGAUAAUAUUUAGCUAUUAUUACUUGCUACUGUUCUGCUGGGAGCGCUAGUUUGCAUUUAAUUACGGAUCACUUGCAAAUAGCCUAUAUGGCCCUGAUUCAGCAAACACUUCUAGCAGGUGUGUAAUUCUAAAGCAUUUAAGUUCUAUGUAGCUCACAUCCUCUGUUAUAUUUUGUGCCUGGCAUGCACUGAUUGCAUGAACCCUAGAUCUAGAAAGUGUCUCCAUGCAGGUAGGGACUGUUGCACAUUGUUCUGGCUCCAUGACCUUGUAGGCGUGAUGCUGAGGCCACUGAUUGCCACACAUGUCAUAUUGUAAGGUAUCCCCUUAAAUGGCUCUGGCAACCCAUUAGCAUUAGAUAGAACUCUAGGACUUUUAGACUUUUUAGAAGGGACAACAGCUUUUUGUCAGCUUAGGACAAAGCAGAGCCCUCUAUCCUGCAUGUUUCCUUGGCUCAGUAUAAAUUUUACUAAGAAUCUCUAUACCAGAAGUAAAACUUGGCUAAAUGACCUACCAGGCAGCAGGACAUGCCAGGCACAUUCACAAUAUUGUAUGAUUUAAUUGGCUAGUUGGAAAUGCAUAAUAAAAUACAGGGUGUUUGAGUUAUUACUUAGCUGCCUAUGUAAUUACUUCUGUUUAAUAUUUAAUUGUGUUGAUCUUUCUGUCUUGUCUUUGUUCCACACAGAAAAUAGAUCCCCCUUUUUGUCUAUUCACAGGCACUGGGCUACUGCGUAGAGGGCAUUGCAGCUAAUCUUCCUGAUUGUUCAAAUGUCACCAUAAAAUAUUUAGCAUCUUGAUAACUCCAAAGCUAUCAAAACAGAUUGGAUGGUAACAAUUAAAAUUAUGCUAACAUUACUAAAACAGAUAUAACGGAGUGAUGCUUGUUAAGCACUUAAUGAUCCCUUUCUCCAAGGAAUUCCAUUUCAAUUUCUUUAUGCUGCCUGAUUGCUUUACUGCAUCCUGCAGGUUUUGUGCACUGCUGCUCUGUGUAAUACAUAUUCAAACCCUUCUCUGAGCUCUCAUCAUGCCAAUCAAGGAUGCAAAUGAAGUCUGUAUGACUGUGUGAUCAGAAUUUCUUGCUUGUUUGCAAGCCUGUAAAUAAUGGAGUGAAUAAGGAUCUGAUGUGUAACGGUAUCAAAGUAAUCAGACCUUGUAUCUGGCUUCUAGUAAACAUCAGUAUGGCCCUGAUCCAACCACUGCUGUAAUCAAUGGGAGGCUUUUAUUGACUUUAAUGGGAGUUGAAUUAGGCCUUGUCUGAGGCUUGAAAAUUCAGCUGCAGCUAUUGGGGCUGAUCCUUGGCUGGUGUAACCUGGCUUUGUGCUCCUGGAAAUCAGACAGCUGAUCUGCCUCGCCCUGCCGAGGAUGUGGCAGGCAGCACCCUUCCCUGAACUACUGUCACCCUGCACACACUCCAGUUUUCUGUGUCAGGGGAGCUUUGGGCUUUGCUUCAUUCAGCUAUUCACUUAUGAGCUUAAACUGCUCUCUGAACAGUGUUUGAAAUGUGUAAUUAUCGUUAGAAAAAUGUUUUACUUGAAAGGGAUUCUAACAAUCAUUAUUUUGAACUUUAGUUUUUUGAUAUUUUCAUUGUUUAUAAAGGAACAGUAUCUAUUCCUUUUGCUUUCCUUUGCCUACGAGGGAAAAAUGAGCCUAAUUAGCAAAACCAAAAAUAAACUAAGUUGAUCAGAAAAGCAGUACUUACAAAUUUGCAGACCUUCCCUUGCAAAUGCUGAUAUGAGUAAUUAUAAAGGCUUUAUGAAGUGUCCUUGCUUUGCAGUUUUGUGUCGAUGAAUGGGUAGAGAAGACAGUAACUCUGUGUGGAUGAAAGGCUUUUAAAUGCAACUUUGUGGAUCAUCUGUACUAUGGACCACUUAGAGCUGUGAUACCCGUCCUGUUUCUCAAGUACUACAAUGAGUGUAAAAGACUUCGUGAAAUUCUUUGAGCUGAUUCUUAUUCUGGGCUCUCUGUUUGAAAGGAUAUAGAAAAUACAUCCUUUGGGAAGUCUUCUGGCCAGCUGAGCUCUCCAAGGAUAAGCUUGAAAACAUGUUAGAUUGAUGUUCUGGAGCAGCUCCAAGAAAGCUUGGCCAGUGUGUGAUGGCAACUGCACCUACCCUGAAAUUCAGGGAGGGAAAUGUGGGCCUGCCUCUGGGUUGUGUAUGUGUUUAUAGGCUCAGCCUUCAACAGUGACAGUCAGCAGAGUUGCUGUAUCCUCCAACAGGGUGAGGGUGAUUUAUGCCAGCUGAAAAUCUGGGUCUCCACAUCCUUAUGCAUGCAGAGACACCACUGGUUGGCUUUUGCUGAGUUUUUUUUUCUCAUUUAAGUGUUAUUUCCAACAAAGGCAGUGGAAGCAACUUAGAUGCUGGUUUUCCAGCAACAGAUUUGUCCUGUGUGUAGGGAGGUACUUGGCUGUGUUGGGAAGCAGGAUACAACCCCAUGUCACCCCUCAGCAGACUGGGUGGUGGCAGUACCUUGGCUCUUCUGCUCAGCCUGGGAGUCAGCUGGGGCCAGUGCUUGGCCAGGUGACCCUCUGCCCACAGGACACGUGGUGUGCUCUGGAUCCCACCCCCCGUGGAUCCCACCAGCUUUUUCCAUUGCUUCCUUGCGAGGUUAAGGUGCCUUUACGGGUCCUGCUGGCAGUUCUGGUCCAGACUUGUGUAGAAAGAAUCUCCUUCCAAAAGGUCUAAAAAUGCCUCAGAGUUUUAAGAUUCAUGUGAGAAACCCCACUUCAAUCUGGCCAUUAAACAUUGCUAUGAAUAAAUGCUCUGCUGCUCCAGUUUUCAACAGAAAGGCUUCUUUGCCUGGCACUAUCAGGCUCAUUCUCCUUUUCAGAUCUAAGUUGGAAAACAGAAGGUUCUGCUAGUCUUUACAGGGUUUAAUUUCUCUUCUGUUUUAUAAAAUCCUGUCUUUGGAGAUGAGUUCCAUAAUAACCCUCUUUUAAAAACAGUGUUUGCCACUUAGCUCUUUUCCAUUUGGAGGUGUUUUAUUUACAGUAAAUUAAAGCAAGAAGGUAAAGUGUUUUCUAUUUUCCUAUGUUCUGUAUUCAUAGGCUUUAACAAAUGCCUUCCAUCCCCUUCUUGUGUUCAUUCAACAUCAAACCAUGCAGGAGUAAGUCAAGGCUCAUCCUUCUGCCAUGCUAUGCUCUUCUUGAUCAUUCAACUGAAACGUAUUUGUUUGUAGGUGAAAACUACCACUGCUUUUUCUUGUUUCUCUAGUGACUUUGGAGUUGCACCUUUUCUCUUUUGUUUAAGGGUUCCAGUUCAUGGUGAUAUUUAAGAAAAAAAGCUGAACUCAGCCAAAACACAGAAGAAUUGAAGAGGCCUGGUCAUCAGAGGGGAAGAAUAUAGCCUGAUAAGUCUGCAGAGUAAGGUUGUAGAGAUGCGUCACUUUAUUUUAAUUAAACAUCUGUGCAUUCUCACCGACUUGUGUUCUGCUGCUUUUCUGGUGAAUAGAGGGAUUUCCUCAGUGAUGCUGUUUACUUUUUGUUCACUCAUAUUUGAGUUUGCAAAUUGUUUGAAAGCAAUUUAACUUUUCACGUAGAAAUUUCAUACAGGUGAAGGCUUUUCUGUACUAGGGAAAAUGUGAACAGAAUUUACAUUGCAAUGUUGAUUUUAAAGUCCUAGAGUGUGGGAUGCUCUAGAACUGCCUGUUGCCAAUGUGUGGAGCAGUUCUUCCACCUGUUUACCUUCUCAUUUUACACUUUCUUUUUUUUCUCCAGAUAGAUAUUUUAUUUCCUCACAUCUAUUUCCUGAAGAGUUCAUUCUCUUUCCCAUCAGCUCCCAGUAUCUGUUUGUCUUUCACCUCCUCGUGGGACUCUGCUUAGUACCUCUCCCUGACCCAGUCUGUUUGGUCUUGCUCUGCCACUGUUAAAAGUUCAGGCCACAAAGACUUUGCCCUUGUCAUGUUCAUGUGCAAUUAGCACAGAGUGCCAGACAGGAGCUGCAGCUCCGGCUGCUGCUGAGGGCGCUGGGAGCCCGGCCGUCGAGUUCAGGGGGGUUAGCGUUUGGGCACAUCAGGGCCUUUCAGUGCAGCGUAGCUUGCAAGUAAUUUAUAAUAUUAGAUGGACAAACAUGUCAUGAUUAAGUCCUUAGAAGCCUGUAAGAAGCUGUUUUUACACAGCCAUUCCUGGUGUGUUGAGAUUAACUGUCCUGUCAGACUGGGUGUGUGUACACUUCCAGGCAGGAGCUGACCUCUCCAGCAGCUGUAAUUAGAAACAAUUCUCAGAUUUAUAUGAUGAGUUUUAUUUCACAGGGUGCACAUACAGUCCACACAGAGAAGUUUUUUUCCACAAAUUGAACUUGUUCUCUCAAAUGCAACUAUAUCUCCAGCUGUCUUUAGAAUACCCUGCACUGUCUGUGAGUGCUGUAAAAUGACUGCAAGCUUAUAAAUUCACCUUUUUGCAGUUAUUAAAUGUGCUUUACUCAUUCCAGCCUGUUGCUGUGGAAGUAGGUACAAUAUAGAAACCUUGGCACUAUGACAGGCAAUUAAAAUACCAAGAUGUUUAGCCAUGUAUGAGUAUUUUCACACAGUGAGACCUCUAAGCUUAGCCUGGUGCUGACAUUGUUAAUUAUUGAAUCAAUUGCAUGAGAUGAGGUUGACAGGUGUAAUUAUAUAUUUCUAUGGUGAUUAUGUAUGACCUGUCAUAGAGACCAACAUGCCUGUAACUUUGCACUCAUUUAGUAGUCAUUUAUUGAGUGAAGUAUUGGAGUUGGCAUGCCGUUUACAAGGGAAGGAAAUGUAAAACAAAACAGAAGUCCAUUUUGAAAUAUAAUUGAUUCAUUAAACCAUUUACCAAUGCUUCGUUUUAGUACAUGGAAAUAUAUCUUUCCGUAUUUCCUGCAGAUCUCUCAGUUAUUUAAGCAUAUUCUUGCACCCUGACUUUAACAAAAGAAUAAAACUCACGCGACGAGUUAGUGAGAACCUGGGUCUCAGGUCUUCUGCUGCCAUAUGCUGGGAGAGGUUUGGGGAGCUUGCUGGGACCAUCUGAAUAUGGACCGUUUAAAAAUAUUUGGCUUACUUGUUAAAGAGCUCAGAAUCUUUCAAAAUAACCUCCUUUCUAUGCAAACACAUCUGCACAAUCUUCUUCUUUGUAAUAGCUGUUCUUUAAUGUGUUAAAAAUUAUACAAAUAUUUUUGGAAUUCACUGAAGUGAACUUGGGCUGGUGCUGGAAUUCCUCAUUCACUUUUCCAGAUAAAAAUUUUUCUAUGUAGUGACAUCACACAAAACUUUGCUGUAUUAUUUCCCAUGUAGUUCUCCCUGGUGUUAUGUGCCACCCUGAUGAUGUGAAUGAAAAGACUCUGUUUCUCAAAGUGAGAGGAGGCAGAGAGAAAUUAAAUAUUGCUCUCAGUUUAUUAAGAGGUCCUUGGACUUGGUUGAAGUCAAGCAAACAAUUUGACUUACUUUCCUUAACCACAUCUCUCUGCAAUAUAACUAUUGCCUUAUUCACAGAAAUUUUGAUGUGUAAGAGCUAUCUGAGGUGGGGUAAAAAUAAAUUUGGGUUAGUACCAACUUUUGUUUGAUUUUAAAGAUUAGACUGUCAGCAUUUUUUACAAUAGCAGUAGGUAUAAGAGUAGUUGCUGCUUCAAGAUGGGAGUCUCGUUUUCUUCCUUAUCACUGUGGGCUCCUGGUGGGGAUUUAGCUGAAUGAUGAAUAUUUAGAAAACUGUCCUUUGGAAUCAGGAAUUAAACUAGGUUCAAAUGCCAAAAAGUGGAUGCAAACCUAAACUUGGAAAGUUUCAUCCCAAAGUUUGGAAGAACCAUUUUUCCCCAGUCUCAUCUGCCUAGAAUACGUUGGUCAUAAGUUUUCUUGUAGGAAGCAUUUGGGUUAAUAUCUGGCUUUCUAAUCAUGUGCUUGGAAAGACAGCUUUUGUGGCUGUUCCAGAAAACUUCCCAAGCAUGGAAUAAAAUGCAUGCUGUUCCAAAAAAAAUAUGCUGAAUAAAGUGAUGUCUGGUGAGUUGCAUUUUUGUUUUUCUAUCACUAAGCUAGAGUUUGAGGGCUUUUUUAUAAAAUUAUUAUUAUUUUUUGUUUUCUUGUAAUGAAAUUCUGUUCAAGUAGAAGAAUAUUUGAUGUUGGAAGAGGUCUCUGGAGAUCAUCUCAUCCAAGCUGCCUGCUCAGAGGAGAGUAAAUUGGAGAAGGUUUCCCAGGAUCAUGUCCAGUUGGGUUUGGAAUAUCUCCAAGGAUGAGGAGAGUUCACUUUUUUAGGUGUCCUAUUCCAGUGAUCAAUCACUCUUACAUAAAAGUUUCUUAUGUUUCAAUGAUAUUUGCUGUAUUUUGCUGUAUUUGAAAGGCAUUGCCUGUCUUUCUUUCACUAGACACCAUGGAGAAGAGUCUGGCUCUGUCCUUUCCUCCUCCCAUCCAUUUAUAAAAUGGGUAGAAUUCACUCCGUGUGGAACAAUCCUAGUUAUCUCUGCUUUUUCUGUCAGAUGCUCCCUUGCAGUCUCUGGGACAAUAUAGAGGAGAAAUACCCAUUUUCUCUGUGACUGAGAAAUCUGUUUUUGGGGGGGCUGAAGAGAGGAGCAGGUUGGAGACACUGUGAUAGAGCAGAUGGUGGUGGGGGAGCUGCUGAUGCAUUUCAGUGGAGUCCUUUAGAGCCAGGAACUGCCUGCACAGUGAGGGUGGGAUCAGUCAUCUUUUGGACAGAGAUGAGUUGGGAGCUCAGGGCCUGAUGAAUACCAACGGCCUAAGGCAGACCUGAAAAUUUAUAAUAAAGAACUGCAGUGGGCAUGAGGAAAAAAGGAGGGGGGCAUCAAACGGAGCUUCCUGGCAUUGUUUGUCCCACUCAUUUCAUUCGCCCCAGCAAUGUGCCUCCCUGGUGUUAUGGCAAACUGCUUCCUCUGAGCAGCUUGGCUGCCUCUUCCCAGAUGGACUGCACACCUCAUUACCAAAGAGGGGGUAAUGUAUUUUCCUAAUCUGCAGUUUUAAUGCCCUCCUGGAUAGCCCUAAAACCAACCAAAUGCUGUGUGAAGGAAAUAGAGCGCAAGCCUUGACAGGCCACUCAGGACCACACAUCCCCUUGCUGUCAUCACAGCACGGCCAGCUCAGAAGCAGCAGUGACAUUUACUCAGGAUAGGAUACGAGCAAAGGGGAGAAUUUGCUUUUCCCAUGUACACUUUCUAUUCUCAUACACUACUUAUUUCUGACUUUAAAGUAAUUCUCUGUGUUUUAUUCCAGCCUUGACCAUGUGGAUCCAAGUGCUCCCAUAACUCCUGUUGAUGAUGUUCUAACAUGAUACAGCCAUAAACUGGAUCUUUCUUUUCUUCUAAUGUACCCUUUUUAAUUAUCUAAAGACUAAACUUUUGAAUACCACUUCUCAUUUGCACGCUGGAUUUAAGGCUAGAAAGCAAGUUUGCUUAUUUAAUAUUUGCUUUGAUUUGGUGAUUAGUCAUUGUUCUUAAUGAUUUUUUACCAUUUCCACAUGAGUGAUCAGGAAAUGAACAGCUGUCUCACACUUUCAGCAAGUUAAAACCAGCCUAACUAUGGUAUUUCCUUAUUGACUUUUUACUUGCCCCCGUGCAGAAUGUUUUAAGAUGUUGCUUCUCUUGAGUCGCCCACCUCACAGCUUGAGUAAUGCCACAGCUUUUAAAAAUGUUUCCCUUCUGACUUGCCAAGGCGAUGAAGACAAGUAAAGUCAUCCAGCAUAAAAGGUAUACACCAACAAAACAUGAAUUAAAGGUGUGGAUCAAAUUGCAAUCCAAACAAGAAGAAUAUUAGAAGCAGUUUUGGAGACUGAGGAGACCAGUCCUGUGGCACACAUCUGCAGUGAGAAAUAACACCAUCCUGGGAUCCUGUGUGAUGUUUAUACACUGACAGCAAAUCCUCUUAAAAAAGUAAAAAUAAGUGGCUUGCUGCCCCUUUUUUUUGCUGAUGUUUUCCUUUUAUCUUUUCAUUCCUUUUCAAAUUGAUAAUGAUUUUAAAUUGCUCCUCACCACAGAAAGUGCUGUUUUCCAAGAGCAGUGAUUUGAUUCUUGUAAUCUUAUUUAUUAGUUAAAUCCAAUAAGUACCCAGCCUAUGCUCUAAAUGCCUUUCAAAAAUACACUAAUAAACACGCCUUGAUUGCUUUUUGAUUGAAUUGCAGAUAAUGAUAUUUAUAUCAUCAGUGAGUUAAGUUAAUCAGCCUUCCUAUAGGGGCGUUUCCAGCACAGACACUCCACUGUCUGUCUUCCUGCAGACACGAGAUGAGGAUGAGCUUUCUCUGUACCCCUGCAAUCUUGGGCUUUUGGGGCUUUAACAGAUUCGCUGCAAUUAUUUGACUGAUAGGAGUGUUGUGACAGAGAUUUAUUUGUGCAAAUAGUAAGUGUUGCAGAGUCAGACCAGAAACUGCUGGGGCUGGUGUAAUUCGUGGUGCUGAGCAAAGAAGAAUGGUGUGCAGGUCUUUUCACUUCAUGUGCUUUUUGUGCAUGUUUUUAGAUGUGAAUCCUGGUUUCUUUGAAGUGGCAUUUUGUCCUUAAGCAUUAGGAUUUGGGCACUGCAAAGCUGGAUUGGAGUCAUCACUGGAUGCAACAUGGCUGAUUUUGCAGCACCUGUAUGUGUACCUCGUUUCUGGUGGGUUUGAAGAGAGAUUAGUAAAGAACUGAAUGGAACUGUGAUACUCCUGUCAGGGCUAGGAAAAUGCCCAAGAAAUAUCCUGGAAGGCUUUUUGCUUAGCUAGCUGAAGAGUGACACAGCAAGAGAGAAGACACGGAAAUUCCUCUGCUUUACAUGAGUGUGUUUUAAAAGGCUCCUGAGCCUUCUCUGAAGCACAAGGCAGCAUUUUCUGCUUGGGUGACACAAUAGCCGCAGAGUGCUCCAGAAACUGACAUCUUUUGACCCACGCUGGAGGUCAAACCGAAUCUAACACAGGCAGACCACAUUCCACAAGGGUGGUAAUCGCUGGUGUUCUCGGCAUGGGGUACGCUAAUAGGAAAACAACUGCGAUGUGGUGUGGCUUUCUAAGUCUUACAGCUCCUGAAAGGUUACAUCAGUUCCAGAGGAGAAGAAAUAAAGUACUUUGCAAAUGUUGCUGCAGGAAGAUUUUCUCUUAGUAGCCAAACUUAGAUGCUUUCUUGAAUUUAUUUUAUUGUUUUAGUCAGUGUAUUAAUGGCAUGAUGUUUCUUAUAAAAUCUGUUGCUAGCCAGUUGCUUCAGUCUAUUUAAAAACUUAAAGUAAUUUAAAAUCAAAGGGAAUCUUUGUUUAACUGGCAGACAGCUGAAGGAUGAACUCUUAACAUCACCCUGUUACAUCCUGAGCUGAAGUGGGAAGGCAGCUUACAGUGGCGUGGGCACUGAGCUGGGAGUAGGCUGCUGCUGUAGCUGUGUUACACUGAUAAUACCUCUUAAUCCGUCUUUUGAACUGACUGAUAAUGCAUCAAACCUAGUCACAGCCUGUAGGUGACAUAAUACUGUUCUUGCAAUUUGUGCUCUUCAGCAAAGGUGACCCCCAGGACUGGCAGAAAAAAUGUCUGAUGGUUGCUUCUUCAAGUCUGCUGCACAGGAUCGCUCAGGAGGCUCUGGAGAGCUCAGCAGAGCAGUCACAGACAGCAGCCCUGGAGAGCCGGAGGCUGCGUCCAGUCCUGGUGCUUCCAGCCCCGAGGCACGGGGAUGCUCUUGUCAGCUCGCAGGGAUCCUUGCUCGCUGAAUUCCUGAUGGUUUUAAUGCCUGAUUCAUAGCCUUUGGCUUGUGAGGUGCUGCAACAGGGAGGCUGAU